ACCUUCUCCCAAUGAUGAAGCCAAAGACCAUGAACACCAAAAUGAUGGUCCCAGCUACAGCAACCACAGCAAUGAUAAUAACAGGAUUCUGUUCACUGGAGACAGCUGUAGCUGUAAACAGAGGGACAAGUGUCAAUUAUGGACAGGAGAUUUAUGGGACGGGAAAGAUAAAGCCCAAUUUACAAAUCAUUUCCCGUGCAAGCAGACAGGUGC
rnacentral:lncRNA from 1 species